GACGAACGCUGGCGGCGUGCUUAACACAUGCAAGUCGAGCGGAGCGGCGAACGGGUGAGUAACGCGUGAGUACCUGCCCCCCUCUCUGGGAUAACAGUUGGACACGGCUGCUAAUCCCGGAUAGUGGGGGAUGACUCGCGUCCUAUCAGCUUGUUGGGGGGGUAGUGGCUUACCGAGGCGACGACGGGUAGCCGGCCUGAGAGGGCGACCGGCCACAGUGGGCUGGGAGACGGACAAAACUCCUACGGGAGGCAGCAGUGGAGAAUUGUGCACGAUGGGGGAAACCAGGAUGGAGCAACGCCGCGUGCGAGAGGACGGUCAUCGGGUUGUAAACGGCUUUCAGCCAUGACGCGGGAGUGGCAGAGAAAGCACCGGCUAACUACGUGCCAGCAGCCGCGGUAAUUC
rnacentral:rRNA from 1 species